rnacentral:rRNA from 1 species
CGGGCGGACGGGUGAGUAACGCGUGGGCAACCUGCCUUACACAGGGGGAUAACAGUUAGAAAUGACUGCUAAUACCGCAUAAGACCACAGAGCUGCAUGGCUAAGUGGUAAAAACUCCGGUGGUGUAAGAUGGGCCCGCGUCUGAUUAGGUAGUUGGUGAGGUAACGGCUCACCAAGCCGACGAUCAGUAGCCGACCUGAGAGGGUGACCGGCCACAUUGGGACUGAGACACGGCCCAGACUCCUACGGGAGGCAGCAG